rnacentral:rRNA from 1 species
ACGGAAGGCAGCAGUGGGGGAUAUUGCACAAUGGAGGAAACUCUGAUGCAGCAACGCCGCGUGAGGGAAGAAGGUUUUCGGAUUGUAAACCUCUGUUAUUAGUGAAGAAACAAAUGACGGUAGCUAAUGAGGAAGCCACGGCUAACUACGUGCCAGCAGCCGCGGUAAUACGUAGGUGGCAAGCGUUGUCCGGAAUUACUGGGUGUAAAGGGUGCGCAGGCGGGACUGUAAGUUGGAUGUGAAAUACCGUGGCUUAACCACGGAGCUGCAUCCAAAACUGCGGUUCUUGAGUGAAGUAGAGGUAGGCGGAAUUCCGAGUGUAGCGGUGAAAUGCGUAGAUAUUAGGAGGAACACCAGUGGCGAAGGCGGCUUACCGGACGGUAAAUGACGCUCAGGCUCGAAAGCGUGGGGAGCAAACAGGAUUAGAUACCCUGGUA